rnacentral:lncRNA from 1 species
AUCCCAGGCCCGGCAACAGCCACCAGAUCCUUAGCACAAUACAGUCUCUCCUCCCCCUUCCUUCUCCCUACAGAAAGCUGUCUCUCCUUCUCCCUACAGAAAGCUGUCUCUCCUUCUCCCUACAGAAAGCUGUCUCUCCUUCUCCCUACAGAAAGCUCUGUCUCUCCUUCUCCCUACAGAAAGCUCUGUCUCUCCUUCUCCCUACAGAAAGCUCGGUCUCUCCUUCCCCUACAGAAAGCUCUGUCUCUCCUUCCCCCUACAGAAAGCUCUGUCUCCUCCUUCUCCCUACAGAAAGCUUGUCUCUCCUUCUCCCUACAGAAAGCUCUGUCUCUCCUUCCUCCCUACAGAAAGCUCUGUCUCUCCUUCUCCCUACAGAAAGCUUGUCUCUCCUUCUCCCUACAGAAAGCUCUGUCUCCCUUCUCCCUACAGAAAGCGCGUCUCUCCUUCCCCCUACAGAAAGCUCUGUCUCUCCUUCCCCUACAGAAAGCUCCGUCUCUCCUUCCCCCCUACAGAAAGCUUCCGUCUCUCCUUCUCCCUACAGAAAGCUCCGUCUCUCCUUCCCCUACAGAAAGCUUGGUCUCCUCUUCUCCCUACAGAAAGCUCUGUCUCUCCUUCCCCCUACAGAAAGCUCUGUCUCUCCUUCCCCCUACAGAAAGCUCUGUCGCUUCCUUUCCCCUACAGAGAGCUCUGUCUCUCCUUCCCCCUACAGAGAGCUCUGUCUCUCCUCCCCCUACAGAGAGCUCUGUUCUCCUCCCCCUACAGAGAGCUCUGUCUCUCCUCCCCCUACAGAGAGCUCUGUCCUCUCCUCCACCUUCCUUCUCUCUACAGAGAGCUCUGUCUCUCCUCCCCUUCCUUCUCCCUACAGAGAGCUCUGUCCUCUCCUCCUCCUACAGAGAGCUCUGUCUCUCCUCCACCUUCCUUCUCCCUAAAGAGAGUGCUGUCUCUCUCUCCUCCCCCUUCCUUCUCCCUACAGAGGAGCUCUGUCUCUCCUCCUUACAAGAGAGCUCUGUCUCCUCCACCUUCCUUCUCCUAAAGAGAGCGCUGUCUCUCUCUCGCUCCCCUCUUCCUUCUCCCUACAGAGAGCUCUGUUCUCCUCCCCCUACAGAGAGCCGUCUCUCUCCACCUUCUUCUCCCUAA